UAGAUUCUCACAAACUAAAAACCCUAUCGUCGUUCUUUCUAUUCUCCCAAACAGAAAACCCACUCGUUCUUCUUCUUUUCCCAAACCAAAAAUCUACUGAAUCCACGAACAAACUCUCUCAAUCCACGAAGAAACCUUCUGAAUUCGAAGAAUCCUAAUUGAACCCACAAUUACGAAUUUCAUUUUUCUUCUCUCACGAAAAUCCCUUCAGCAAGUUCGAAAAGCCCUAAUUUAAGCCAAAUUUGCGAUUUUCUUCUUCUGUAAAACAAAAUCGCUUUCAUCUGGGUUUAUAUCAUUCUUCUUCGGCAUUAGAGGGUUAUAGCUUUCUCGGUGGCGAUGGUUGCUCGGAAUUGGAGGUGAAGCUGCCUGAAACAUGGAAAGACUUAAGAUUGAAGCUUGAAGUAAUUCCAACAGACGCUAGCUCGAUCGAAUACACAUUGGUUUGGACUGAAUAGGUGCUGAGUCAUAUAUCUGAGGCCAGUCUGCUUUUUCAUCCGUCGUCGGCACCAAUAACCCCUGACUUUCUUUGGUAAGUCAAGUUCAAUGGAUAAAAAAUGGAUGAAUGCCGAUCGACGGUCAAAAGAGUACGAGAAUGGGGUAUUGGAAUUUGUUAAGUUUGCUGUUGAACACGUCAAAGACGUCGGUCGAAUGAAAUGUCCUUGUUUGCGUUGUUGUUAUGGGGAUCGGGUUGACGCAGCUGGAUUGAAAUCGCAUUUAUUGACGCAUGGGAUUGAUCGAAGUUAUAAGUGUUGGAUAUAUCAUGGUGAGAAAAUUAACGAGAAUGUUGAACCGGGGGAGAAAAGUAAUACGACGACCUAUGCUCCAGACGACAAUGACACGGAUACAUACGAUUGUGAUCGAGUCAAAGAGAUUGCAGAAGCACUUGAAGAAGAUCUUAAGGACUGUCCCAAAAUGUUUGAGAGGUUGGUAAGCGAUGCAGAGAAACCGCUGUAUAUUAAUUAAUGUUUCAAAGAGUAAAGCCAACAACAUCACAUGGAUUCAAGUGGAGUGUCCUGGGCAGCGUAAUGAAGUAGAUUGCGGUUUUUACAUGUUGCAGUUUAUGAAAGAAAUUCUUCUUUUGAAUCAAAUAGAGAUUCCGUCCAAGUAUUUUGACGACUUCAAGUGUGCUACUUACUCAAAAUCUAAGUUGGAUGAACUUAAGGAGGAAUGGUGUCAAUUCAUGAUUGAGUUGAAAGUUGUAUAGGAUAUUGAAGGGUAAAAAGGUUAGCAGCUGGCAAGAAGAAAAAGUAGAUAUUUAGCAUCCUUUUGACUUGUGUAAAAAAUAACAAUGUUUUGGAUAAUGCAAUUGUUUUCAUUGAAUUGGAUG